rnacentral:rRNA from 1 species
ACGCACGCUGGCGGCGUGCUUAACACCUGCAAGUCGAACGGAAAGGCCCUGCUUUUGUGGGGUGCUCGAGUGGCGAACGGGUGAGUAACACGUGAGUAACCUGCCCUUGACUUUGGGAUAACUUCAGGAAACUGGGGCUAAUACCGGAUAGGAGCUCCUGCUGCAUGGUGGGGGUUGGAAAGUUUCGGCGGCUGGGGAUGGACUCGCGGCUUAUCAGCUUGUUGGUGGGGUAGUGGCUUACCAAGGCUUUGACGGGUAGCCGGCCUGAGAGGGUGACCGGCCACAUUGGGACUGAGAUACGGCCCAGACUCCUACGGGAGGCAGCAGUGGGGAAUAUUGCACAAUGGGCGGAAGCCUGAUGCAGCAACGCCGCGUGCGGGAUGACGGCCUUCGGGUUGUAAACCGCUUUCGCCUGUGACGAAGCGUGAGUGACGGUAAUGGGUAAAGAAGCACCGGCUAACUACGUG